UACAGAGGUCUCAAGCGUUGUUCGGAUUCAUUGGGCGUAAAGGGUGCGUAGGCGGCGCGGUGAGUCGGAUGUGAAAUCUCGGAGCUUAACUCCGAAACUGCAUUCGAUACUGCGGUGCUUGAGGACUGGAGAGGAGACUGGAAUUCAUGGUGUAGCAGUGAAAUGCGUAGAGAUCAUGAGGAAGACCAGUGGCGAAGGCGGGUCUCUGGACAGUUCCUGACACUGAGGCACGAAGGCCAGGGGAGCAAACGGGG
rnacentral:rRNA from 1 species